rnacentral:rRNA from 1 species
CUGCAUGGCUGUCGUCAGCUCGUGUCGUGAGAUGUUGGGUUAAGUCCCGCAACGAGCGCAACCCUUGCCUUUAGUUGCCAGCAGUUCGGCUGGGCACUCUAAAGGGACUGCCGGUGUUAAACCGGAGGAAGGUGGGGAAUGACGUCAAGUCCUCAUGGCCUUUAUGACCAGGGCUACACACGUACUACAAUGGCCGAUACAAAGGGCAGCGACACUGCGAGGUGAAGCCAAUCCCGUAAAAUCGGUCUCAGUCCGGAUUGGAGUCUGCAACUCGACUCCAUGAAGUUGGAAUCGCUAGUAAUCGUGGAUCAGCAUGCCACGGUGAAUACGUUCCCGGGCCUU